rnacentral:rRNA from 1 species
UGGGGGAUAUUGCACAAUGGGCGAAAGCCUGAUGCAGCGACGCCGCGUGGGGGAUGAAGGCUUUCGGGUUGUAAACCUCUUUCGCUAUCGAACAAGGCCCGCUUAGGGUGGGUUGAGGGUAGGUGGAGAAGAAGCGCCGGCUAACUACGUGCCAGCAGCCGCGGUAAUACGUAGGGCGCGAGCGUUGUCCGGAAUUAUUGGGCGUAAAGGGCUUGUAGGCGGCUUGUUGCGCCUGCUGUGAAAACGCGGGGCUUAACUUCGCGCGUGCAGUGGGUACGGGCAGGCUUGAGUGUGGUAGGGGUGACUGGAAUUCCAGGUGUAGCGGUGGAAUGCGCAGAUAUCUGGAGGAACACCGAUGGCGAAGGCAGGUCACUGGGCCAUUACUGACGCUCAGGUGCGAAAGCGUGGGGAGCAAACAGG